UAGGGAAUCUUCCGCAAUGGACGAAAGUCUGACGGAGCAACGCCGCGUGAGCGAAGAAGGCCUUCGGGUCGUAAAGCUCUGUUGUUAGGGAAGAACAAGUACCGGAGUAACUGCCGGUACCUUGACGGUACCUAACCAGAAAGCCACGGCUAACUACGUGCCAGCAGCCGCGGUAAUACGUAGGUGGCAAGCGUUGUCCGGAAUUAUUGGGCGUAAAGCGCGCGCAGGCGGUUUCUUAAGUCUGAUGUGAAAGCCCACGGCUCAACCGUGGAGGGUCAUUGGAAACUGGGAAACUUGAGUGCAGAAGAGGAAAGUGGAAUUCCACGUGUAGCGGUGAAAUGCGUAGAGAUGUGGAGGAACACCAGUGGCGAAGGCGACUUUCUGGUCUGUAACUGACGCUGAGGCGCGAAAGCAUGGGGAGCGAACAGGAUUAGAUACCCUGGUAGUCCAUGCCGUAAACGAUGAGUGCUAAGUGUUAGAGGGUUUCCGCCCUUUAGUGCUGCAGCUAACGCAUUAAGCAC
rnacentral:rRNA from 1 species